rnacentral:rRNA from 1 species
UACAGAGACUGCGAGCGUUAUUCGGAUUCACUGGGCGUAAAGGGUGCGCAGGCGGCCGAGUGUGUGAGGCGUGAAAUCCCCGGGCUCAACCUGGGAAUUGCGAUGGAGACUGCAAGGCUAGAAUCUGGCAGAGGGGGGUAGAAUUCCACGUGUAGCAGUGAAAUGCGCAGAUAUCAGGAGGAACACCGGUGGCGAAGGCGGGUCUCUGGGCAGUAACUGACGCUGGAGGGAGCGAAAAGCGUGGGGAGCGAACAGG